AGCAGCCGCGGUAAUUCCAGCUCCAAUAGCGUAUAUUAAAGUUGUUGCAGUUAAAAAGCUCGUAGUUGAAUUUCGGGAUCAAUAUGUUGGUCGUGCCUUGGUACGUACUAAUUUAUUGGUUUCUUCCUUCUGACGAACCAUGAUGUCAUUAAUUUGGUGUUAUGGGGAAUCAGGACUGUUACUUUGAAAAAAAUUAGAGUGUUUAAAGCAGGCUCACGCUUGAAUACAUUAGCAUGGAAUAAUGAAAUAGGACGUUUGAUUCUAUUUUGUUGGUUUCUAGGAUCGACGUAAUGAUUAAUAGGGAUAGUUGGGGGCAUUAGUAUUCAAUUGUCAGAGGUGAAAUUCUUGGAUUUAUUGAAGACUAACUACUGCGAAAGCAUUUGCCAAGGAUGUUUUCAUUAAUCAAGAACGAAAGUUAGGGGAUCGAAGACGAUCAGAUACCGUCGUAGU
rnacentral:rRNA from 1 species